ensembl:lncRNA
GGAAUAUCGCUGUUGCUUUCGUAUAAAUGAAGCGGACAUACCUGCGUGGCCGCGAUCUAAUCCUGUUUACGCUUACGGCUCUGUUGCUAUGACAGCAAGUCUCGGAUGAGCUUCGGGGAACCGAACGAUCCAGGAUCACGCGAAAUCGUCAACAAUCAAAUCCAGCUAACUUACUUAGCGAGGUACGAAGAACGGACCCCUGCAGUGAAUAAUCCUGAAUGUUACAUUUAGGAAGCUGCAUGUAUAGAUAUGUAUAUCAAGUUUAUGUUUUUUUCCUUUGAGGGAUUUUAAUUCUCUAAAAUGUUAUCCCUGUUACAUUUUAACCUUUGUUCCCUUAGGACACAGUAGUGUUUAGUAGUUGUACUAUUAAAGUUAUAGGAAUGUCUUUUCUUUCUUUUUUUUAACCAAACUGGUAUUCUAUCAAAAAUCAAAUAUGGAUAUGUAAAUCAUUUCUUUUAUUUGAACUUUUUUAGCUUUUCCAAAAUUAACUUAUUUUUUAUGUAUUCAUUGCAUGUUUCACCUCAGUUAAAUUUCAAUCCUUCAUUCAUAUUUAAACUUUUGCUGUGGUAAAAUCUUCUCUUAAAUCCUUUUCUCCCAAAACUGCAAAUAUUUUCACAGCAGUUGCUCUUAAAACUUCCAAAAUGAACUAAAUCUGUCCACCGGCUUUGAAACAACACCUGCUGUGACUUUAUGUCCAGAAAAAAGAAACUCAAGCUGAACUGGUUUUGGGCUGUAUUUCCAUGUAAUACCUUUUUUUUUUUUCCAGAAGAUGGAGCAGUGAUGCUGUGUAACCUUUAUUUAAUUAGGCAAAGAACACAAUAUUCACAGUGGCAGCAAAGAACUGUUAAAAGUUAAAAACAGCAGCACACAUCAGAACCAUUUUAAAGAUUACAGGUGACUACUUUUAGUUAAUUCAAAUCCUAUUAAACAUCUAUUUUUGGAUCCUCCUUUCACUUUAGUGUAUUUACUGUAUCCUUGAAGUCCACGUUGUUUUUUUAAUGAAUUCAUUUUGAUCCACAUGUUCUGCAGCUGUUUGCCUUUUGAUUUGAAGUUUGCAUUAUGAAAUCCUGAUACUGUUAAAGCAUCAGUUAUAAUUGAUGAACUCUGUGUAAAGUUU